AAUCUUCCACAAUGGACGAAAGUCUGAUGGAGCAACGCCGCGUGAGUGAAGAAGGUUCUCGGAUCGUAAAGCUCUGUUGUAAUGGAAGAACAAGUACAGGAGUAACUGUCUGUACCUCGACGGUACCUUACCAGAAAGGCACGGCUAACUACCUGCCAGCAGCCGCGGUAAUACGAGGGUGGCAAGCGUUGUCCGGAAUUAUGGGGCGGAAAGCGCGCGCAGGCGGUCCUUUAAGUCUGAUGUGAAAGCCCACGGCUCAACCGGGGAGGGUCAUUGGAAACUGGAGGACUUGAGUACAGAAGAGGAAAGCGGAAUUCCACGUGUAGCGGUGAAAUGCGUAGAGAUGUGGAGGAACACCAGUGGCGAAGGCGGCUUUCUGGUCUGUAACUAACGCUGAGGCGCGAAAGCGUGGGGAGCAAACA
rnacentral:rRNA from 1 species